rnacentral:tRNA from 1 species
GGGGAUGUGGCUCAAUGGCAGAGUGCAUGCCUAGGAUUUAUUAAUACCUGAGUUCAAUCUCAGCACCCACC